GUAGGUGGCAAGCGUUGUCCGGAAUUAUUGGGCGUAAAGCGCGCGCAGGCGGUUCUUUAAGUCUGAUGUGAAAGCCCACGGGCUCAACCGUGGAGGGUCAUUGGAAACUGGAGAACUUGAGUACAGAAGAGGAAAGCGGAAUUCCACGUGUAGCGGUGAAAUGCGUAGAGAUGUGGAGGAACACCAGUGGCGAAGGCGGCUUUCUGGUCUGUAACUGACGCUGAGGCGCGAAAGCGUGGGGAGCAAACAGGAUUAGAUACCCUGGUAGUCCGCGCCGUAAACGAUGAGUGCUAAGUGUUAGGGGGUUUCCGCCCCUUAGUGCUGCAGCUAACGCAUUAAGCACUCCGCCUGGGGAGUACGGCCGCAAAGGCUAG
rnacentral:rRNA from 1 species